GGGGGUAUGGCGCAGUUGGUAGCGCGUCUGCAUGGCAUGCAGAAGGUCAGGGGUUCGAAUCCCCUUACCUCCACCGCACGCACAAGGCUCGAACCCUUG
rnacentral:tRNA from 1 species